UGGGAUCCUUAGAAGCAGCCAUUGCUGUUGUUUAGAAACUUGCUUAGCCUUUUUUGCUUCCUUGGCAGCCCUGAUGGCCUCUUUGCUCCUU